rnacentral:rRNA from 1 species
CAGCUUGUUGGUGGGGUAAUGGCCUACCAAGGCGACAAUCCGUAGCUGGUCUGAGAGGACGACCAGCCACACCGGAACUGAGACACGGUCCGGACUCCUACGGGAGGCAGCAGUGGGGAAUAUUGGACAAUGGGGGAAACCCUGAUCCAGCGACGCCGCGUGUGUGAAGAAGGCCUGCGGGUUGUAAAGCACUUUUAGUGGGGACAAAAAGCUACGGAUUAAUACUCUGUGGUCUUGAUUUAACCCAAAGAAAAAGCACCGGCUAACUCUGUGCCAGCAGCCGCGGUAAUACAGAGGGUGCGAGCGUUAAUCGGAAUUACUGGGCGUAAAGCGCGCGUAGACGGUUUUGUAAGUCAGAUGUGAAAUCCCUGGGCUCAACCUGGGAACUGCAUUUGAGACUGCAUGGCUAGAGUAUGGAAGAGGGAAGUGGAAUUUCCGGUGUAGCGGUGAAAUGCGUAGAUAUCGGAAGGAACACCAGUGGCGAAAGCGACUUCCUGGUCCAAUACUGACGUUCAUGUGCGAAAGC